GUGGGGAAUAUUCCGCAAUGGACGAAAGUCUGACGGAGCAACGCCGCGUGAGUGAUGAAGGUUUUCGGACUGUAAAGCUCUGUUGUUUAGGACGAAAGUGCCUGUUGCGAACAGUUACAGGUAUUGACGGUACUAAACGAGGAAGCCACGGCUAACUACGUGCCAGCAGCCGCGGUAAUACGUAGGUGGCAAGCGUUGUCCGGAAUUAUUGGGCGUAAAGAGCAUGUAGGCGGAGAUUUAAGUCUGUUGUGAAAAUGCGGGGCUCAACCCCGUAUUGCGAUGGAAACUGAAUUUCUUGAGUGCAGGAGAGGAAAGGGGAAUUCCCAGUGUAGCGGUGAAAUGCGUAGAUAUUGGGAGGAACACCAGUGGCGAAGGCGCCUUUCUGGACUGUGUCUGACGCUGAGAUGCGAAAGCCAGGGUAGCGAACGGGAUUAGAUACCCUGGUAGUCC
rnacentral:rRNA from 1 species